UACGGAGGGCGCAAGCGUUGUUCGGAAUCACUGGGCGUAAAGCGCGUUUAGGCGGCCGGGCAAGUCGGAUGUGAAAUCCCGAGGCUCAACCUCGGAACUGCAUUCGAAACUGCCCGGCUCGAGUCCCGGAGAGGAUGGCGGAAUUCCCGGUGUAGGGGUGAAAUCCGUAGAUAUCGGGAGGAACACCAGUGGCGAAGGCGGCCAUCUGGACGGUGACUGACGUUGAGACGCGAAAGCGUGGGGAGCAAACAGG
rnacentral:rRNA from 1 species